rnacentral:lncRNA from 1 species
AUACCAGACAAAUUAAUUUUGUCUAACUAUGGGCGUUGUUGCUGACCGAAAUCGAGCCCCGUACGAAUUACCUGGCUGGAUUAAAGUUAUUAAAGUUAAGAAAAACAAGUUGCAAAAACAGGGGCGUAAAGAUCUUUUCGUUCAUGCUGUUUUAACUCAUGCUUUGUCCUGCGCCAAACGGGAACUGCAACGGAAACAAGAAGAGAGGCGACUCAAGUGGCAACAUUGCUUAUCUGAAAAUGUCAAUUCGGAGGUUCCCGUUGAGCCAAAGCAAAAUUUCGAUUCUGAAAUUUAUAGGGAAGUUAAUGCUGAACUGGAUCGGUUCAUGCACGACUUGAAUGAAUGUACAAGGACACGAAAAGACUGAUUUUCACUGAUUGUUAACUACCACAUGUUGUGUUCCCACCCAAGGCUGUUUUAAUGUAUCUGUGAUAUUAUGUAUAUUUUUCUAUUGCAGUGGGAUUCAGCCUACCAGGCACGCUAUGCAAGGGAUUAACUGCUAAUUUGGUCUCCAGCAAAGUGGUAGCAGGCACCACAUGGUGUAUUGUCAAUCCUGCGAGUUUCGAAAGAAGCAUCCGCUUACUGGGGUGAAUGUCCAUCCAGCUUCUCUGUGCUCUAGUAGACACGUGUACGGAACAAUAAAAUGGUUUCCUUAGUGGUAUUGACAAGUUCAGUCGACAGCUUGGACAAUACCAGGGAACCGUUCACAGCCAUGAAAAACCAUUGUAACGAACAAGUAGAGGGCAAAAGGCUCGUUCGAAAAAAAUGGACUUACGGUAACAUUGAUGCGGAUAACUGAUUAAUUUGAAAAGGGCGUUGCUAUGUUGGAUCCGGUACCUUCACAUAAAGAAAUCCACGCAUAAAGUUCCUGUUAUUCAUUACGUAUGCUAACACAACUUGAUCGUCGCCGUGGAUGCGGAUUGUCCAAACUUCUUCCCUGUUCCUGAAGUUUUGGAUAAGAAAUGCAAUUUAACAGGUCUAAUGAGUGUCCGAUCCGUAUAGUCGGGAGACCUGCCUGCAGUGAUGUAAUUUGUCGAAAUGAAACAUUUUAUUCCAUAGCAACUUUCCAUUUAAUCUCACUGGGAGCAGUGUAGUAGGAACUCAAUGAAAUAAACCCGUAUGUUUUUACUUGCCAUUUUUAUUACGUUUUGAAAUGGAUCUCGCAGCUUACAAAAGUUUUAUAUUCGGAAUCGACCAUUUUAAUAGUCAAAAUGCCAUUCAAUGUGCGCAUCAGCUCCAACCAGGCUCAAGUAUAACACUUAUGCGGACAGAAUUCCCCGAAACUACGUCGAUUUUCAAAACUUCUCUCAAGUUCUACCAGAUAUUCAAAUUUCUCAACGCGCGACCGUGUGAUCAUUCUAUCCUAUCCAUGCCACCCACGUCUUCGUGUUGUGCAGCACUUCUCCACUGUCAGCAUUUAAACCCCGUUUUGCCCAUUUGCUGCCAAGAUUAUUUUGGACAUCUUAAUGGGUAUUUUGAAGCUCUGAAAGUCGUUGGUUUUGUUCAGGUUUUUUUGUUAUUGCCGAGAAGAUGUUCGAAGAAGAAGAAGAACGCUACCAGGCAAUAGUAAUUAAUCAGUAGUUUUCAUAGAAGUAAGACUUCAAUAUAUCCGUUAGGUGUUGGUAAUUUCUUACAGCAAAGCAGCAAUCAAGAACUUAACAAGUCGGAACAAAGAAAACUCACAUCCGUUUUUUCAAAACUAGUCUUCUUCUAGUGGCAGGGUGGAAGGAUUAACUGAACUUCUUAACACAACUUUCUUAAUCUUUUCAGCAAAUUUAAACCAUUCUAUUCAGUUCGCAGCUGACAGGCAUUCAAUUUCGAUUAAAACUUAAUAUUCACAGGAAAUGGUCGCAAGAUGGAAGUCGAAAAUUAGUAAUUUUUAGCGUAUCUAAUGAGACGUUUCGUCAGAAGAAGUAACAUUUUCAAGAGAAAAACCACGAGUUUACAUCCGAAUGAAGAAACUCGUGGACAAAUCGUUUGCUUAUCACAUUCUGGUUUUUACUAUGCGUCAAUCGGGGUUGUUUUUAGAAUCGAGUCCAGUCAAGACAUGUAAUGAAAUGACAAAGCCCGCAUUCCAUUCAGCGUCAAGUGCUUUGUUUCGUAAUACGUACGCUUUUAAUUAGGCCAUAUGGAUCUAUCAAGGUACUAUUUGUGGCUGUUGACAAAAUUGUUUUGCAGCCGCUUAAAGUUGGAAUAUUCGUUUUUGCUUCACAAAUUUCAUUGUAAUGGCGAACAUUAGCAGUUCAUUUCGAGAAAUAGCCCGAGUCCAAUAUUCAGUUAUAUAGGAAGCGAAGUCACUUGAUGGACUUGCAGUUCUAGGUCCA